UAUUGUAUAUUUGAUUGUUAUCUAUGCAGGUGAUGGAAAAUCAGAAGACCAACUCCCAAUGGCUUGUAUGGACUCCGUGGCAAUUUUGAUUAUGUUUGAUCUAACAAGUCGAUGCACAUUAAACAGUGUCGUGGGAUGGUACAAAGAAGCCAGGAAAUGGAAUCAGACGGCAAUCCCAGUGUUGAUUGGAACCAAGUUUGAUGAUUUCAUUCAGCUCCCUAUUGAUUUGCAAUGGACCAUAGCCAAUGAGGUAAG